AUUAGAGUAGUGUAGAAAGCAUAUUUGUGUGAACAUUCUAGAAAGACCAUGGAGGGGGGGGGGUGAGCAUAAAAACUAGACACACCCCUCCCCAUGUGCUCAUUUGUGCACCCAUGUGCUUCACAUUUACAUUUCAUUUGGCUAGCAUUAGGGUUGCAUUAUGGUCCUCCUUAGCCUAUAAAAGGAGGAGCCUACACCUUGUAUUUUCAAGUUUAAUUGAGUAAGGUUAUGCUGCCAUUUUUGUGCACA
rnacentral:lncRNA from 1 species